ACACAACAGCUAUACAUAACUAGGUGAAAGCAGACCUGACGCAACACACACACACACACAAUAAGCACACGCACACACACACACACACACACACACACACACACAAUAAGCACACUGUGGUAAGACUGUUUUGGGUUGCAUUUUGUCUGCAUUUAGCCAAUCUGUAACAAUCAGAAGAAUAAAAUACACAUCCAAACAUCUUGACCUUUCAACAAACAGCAAGAUGGAAAUGAACCUUGUGAAGGAAACAGCAACAUAAAGUGUUUUAAUAGGAGGUAACUGGCAGAAUAAAGGAAACUCCAACAGUGUUUUAAUAGGAGGUCGGGUCGUCCACCAGGUAACUGGCAGAAUAAAGGAAACUCCAACAUAGUGUUUUAAUAGGAGGUCGGGUCGUCCACCAGGUAACUGGCAGAAUAAAGGAAACUCCAACAGUGUUUUAAUAGGAGGUCGGGUCGUCCACCAGGUAACUGGCAGAAUAAAGGAAACUCCAGGUCCUCCACCAACCACCAGGUAACUGGGAGAAUAAAGGAAACUCCAACAGUGUUUUAAUAGGACGUCGGGUCCUCCACCAACCAGAACAGCUUUAAUACACCUUGACAUCGAUUCUACAAGUGUCUGGGAAGUCUAUCGGAGGGAUGAGACGCCAUUCUUCCACGAGGAAAUUCCAUCAUUUGGUGUUUUGUUGAUGGUAUUGAAGCCACCUUGCAGCCAUUUUGGCUCUCCUUAAUGAUGUGUAUAAACCCUGGAUGGCUGACAGGGGGGUGCUGUAUUGAAGCCACCGUGCAGCCAUUUUGGCUCUCCUUAAUGAUGUGUAUAAACCCUGGAUGGCUGACAGGGGGGGGGCUGUAUUGCAGCCAUUUUGGCUCUCCUUAAUGAUGUGUAUAAACCCUGGAUGGCUGACAGGGGGGUGCUGUAUUGAAGCCACCGUGCAGCCAUUUUGGCUCUCCUUAAUGAUGUGUAUAAACCCUGGAUGGCUGACAGGGGGGUGCUGUAUUGAAGCCACCGUGCAGCCAUUUUGGCUCUCCUUAAUGAUGUGUAUAAACCCUGGAUGGCUGACAGGGGGUGCUGUAUUGCAGCCAUUUUGGCUCUCCUUAAUGAUGUGUAUAAACCCUGGAUGGCUGACAGGGGGGUGCUGUAUUGAAGCCAUUUUGGCUCUCCUUAAUGAUGUGUAUAAACCCUGGAUGGCUGACAGGGGGGUGCUCUAUUGCAGCCAUUUUGUCUCUCCUUAAUGAUGUGUAUAAACCCUGGAUGGCUGACAGGGGGGGGGCUGUAUUGAAGCCACCGUGCAGCCAUUUUGGCGCUCCUCCAUUGUAAAUAAUAUGUUGGACGAUAUAGAAAUCCAUUUACUAAAUGUCAUUACAUUAAUUUCUGACAUGUUUAUUCCAUUAAGACACCGUAAUGUAUAAUUUUACAUAUGUGAGCUAAACUAAAAUAUUUUUUUAGCGCCCCCCCCAACCCCUUUAAAAAUACUAAUGUUACUGUCCCCCACUACAAACAACAACAAAUACUUAAAUACAUGUAAUGUUGUUCUUGAAACCUUUAAUUGUAAUGCUGUAAACUUUCCAUUCAAUCCUAUGGAGGACUGUCAAAAUGGCCG
rnacentral:lncRNA from 1 species